GCUCUGGGAUAGCUCAGUUGGUAGAGCAGGAGACACUUGAUCUCAGGGUUGUGGGUUAGAGCCCCACGUUGGGCA
rnacentral:tRNA from 1 species